AGGCCAUGAUGAGGGCACUGUAUGAGGAGGUCUUUGAAUCAUUCCAUACACCUAGAAAAUGAUUCGUUUGGUCUCUGACGAAACUGGAGAAUGUCGUUCCUAAGCUU
rnacentral:snoRNA from 1 species